AUGCUCACUUUGGCAGCACGUAUACUAAAAUUGGAACAAUAUAAAGAAGAUUAGCAUGGCUCUUGCACAAGAAUGACAUGCAAAUUCAUGAAUCGUUCCAUAUUUUU
rnacentral:snRNA from 1 species